rnacentral:rRNA from 1 species
GCUGGCGGCAUGCCUAACACAUGCAAGUCGAACGAACCCUUCGGGGUGAGUGGCGCACGGGUGCGUAACGCGUGGGAACCUGCCUUUAGGUUUGGAAUAACAGUGAGAAAUCGCUGCUAAUACCAAAUAAUGUCUUCGGACCAAAGAUUUAUCGCCUUUAGAUGGGCCCGCGUUGGAUUAGCUAGUUGGUGGGGUAAAGGCUCACCAAGGCGACGAUCCAUAGCUGGUCUUAGAGGAUGAUCAGCCACACUGGGACUGAGACACGGCCCAGACUCCUACGGGAGGCAGCAGUGGGGAAUAUUGGACAAUGGGCGAAAGCCUGAUCCAGCAAUGCCGCGUGAGUGAUGAAGGCCUUAGGGUUGUAAAGCUCUUUUACCAGGGAUGAUAAUGACAGUACCUGGAGAAUAAGCUCCG